rnacentral:rRNA from 1 species
UCUGAACCAGCCAUGCCGCGUGCAGGAAGACGGCCCUAUGGGUUGUAAACUGCUUUUAUACGGGAAUAAACCUUUCUUCGUGAAGAGAGCUGAAUGUACUGUAAGAAUAAGGAUCGGCUAACUCCGUGCCAGCAGCCGCGGUAAU